GAUGAACGCUGGCGGCGUGCCUAAUACAUGCCAGUCGAGCGAACAGACGAGGAGCUUGCUCCUCUGACGUUAGCGGCGGACGGGUGAGUAACACGUGGAUAACCUACCUAUAAGACUGGGAUAACUUCGGGAAACCGGAGCUAAUACCGGAUAAUAUAUUGAACCGCAUGGUUCAAUAGUGAAAGACGGUUUUGCUGUCACUUAUAGAUGGAUCCGCGCCGCAUUAGCUAGUUGGUAAGGUAACGGCUUACCAAGGCAACGAUGCGUAGCCGACCUGAGAGGGUGAUCGGCCACACUGGAACUGAGACACGGUCCAGACUCCUACGGGAGGCAGCGGUAGGGAAUCUUCCGCAAUGGGCGAAAGCCUGACGGAGCAACGCCGCGUGAGUGAUGAAGGUCUUCGGAUCGUAAAACUCUGUUAUUAGGGAAGAACAAAUGUGUAAGUAACUAUGCACGUCUUGACGGUACCUAAUCAGAAAGCCACGGCUAACUACGUG
rnacentral:rRNA from 1 species